UAAUGUAGGUGGAGCGAGCCCUCGAGGAUGUCCACGACCCGGCCUCUCGCUGAAUAUUCAUGAGGGAGGCGGGUCGACGCCGCUGCACAGUCCGGCCGGCGCCAUGAAGCUCAACGUGGACGGGCUCCUGGUCUACUUCCCGUACGACUACAUCUACCCCGAGCAGUUCUCCUACAUGCGGGAGCUCAAACGCACGCUGGACGCCAAGGGUCAUGGAGUCCUGGAGAUGCCCUCAGGCACCGGGAAGACAGUGUCCCUGUUGGCCCUGAUCAUGGCAUACCAGAGAGCAUAUCCGCUGGAGGUGACCAAACUCAUCUACUGCUCAAGAACUGUGCCAGAGAUUGAGAAGGUGAUUGAAGAGCUUCGAAAGUUGCUCAACUUCUAUGAGAAGCAGGAGGGCGAGAAGCUGCCAUUUCUGGGACUGGCUCUGAGCUCCCGCAAAAACUUGUGUAUUCACCCUGAGGUGACACCCCUGCGCUUUGGGAAGGACGUCGAUGGGAAAUGCCACAGCCUCACAGCCUCCUAUGUGCGGGCGCAGUACCAGCAUGACACCAGCCUGCCCCACUGCCGCUUCUAUGAGGAAUUUGACGCCCAUGGGCGUGAGGUGCCCCUCCCCGCUGGCAUCUACAACCUGGAUGACCUGAAGGCCCUGGGGCGGCGCCAGGGCUGGUGUCCAUACUUCCUUGCUCGAUACUCAAUCCUGCAUGCCAAUGUGGUGGUUUAUAGCUACCACUACCUCCUGGACCCCAAGAUUGCAGACCUGGUGUCCAAGGAACUGGCCCGCAAGGCCGUCGUGGUCUUCGACGAGGCCCACAACAUUGACAACGUCUGCAUCGACUCCAUGAGCGUCAACCUCACCCGCCGGACCCUUGACCGGUGCCAGGGCAACCUGGAGACCCUGCAGAAGACGGUGCUCAGGAUCAAAGAGACAGACGAGCAGCGCCUGCGGGACGAGUACCGGCGUCUGGUGGAGGGGCUGCGGGAGGCCAGCGCCGCCCGGGAGACGGACGCCCACCUGGCCAACCCCGUGCUGCCCGACGAAGUGCUGCAGGAGGCAGUGCCUGGCUCCAUCCGCACGGCCGAGCAUUUCCUGGGCUUCCUGAGGCGGCUGCUGGAGUACGUGAAGUGGCGGCUGCGUGUGCAGCAUGUGGUGCAGGAGAGCCCGCCCGCCUUCCUGAGCGGCCUGGCCCAGCGCGUGUGCAUCCAGCGCAAGCCCCUCAGAUUCUGUGCUGAACGCCUCCGGUCCCUGCUGCAUACUCUGGAGAUCACCGACCUUGCUGACUUCUCCCCGCUUACCCUCCUUGCUAACUUUGCCACCCUUGUCAGCACCUAUGCCAAAGGCUUCACCAUCAUCAUCGAGCCCUUUGACGACAGAACCCCGACCAUUGCCAACCCCAUCCUGCACUUCAGCUGCAUGGACGCCUCGCUGGCCAUCAAACCCGUAUUCGAGCGUUUCCAGUCUGUCAUCAUCACAUCUGGGACACUGUCCCCGCUGGACAUCUACCCCAAGAUCCUGGACUUCCACCCCGUCACCAUGGCAACCUUCACCAUGACGCUGGCACGGGUCUGCCUCUGCCCUAUGAUCAUCGGCCGUGGCAAUGACCAGGUGGCCAUCAGCUCCAAAUUUGAGACCCGGGAGGAUAUUGCUGUGAUCCGGAACUAUGGGAACCUCCUGCUGGAGAUGUCCGCUGUGGUCCCUGAUGGCAUCGUGGCCUUCUUCACCAGCUACCAGUACAUGGAGAGCACCGUGGCCUCCUGGUAUGAGCAGGAGCUUGUGGUGUUAGCUUUCACAUCCAGGUCUAUGAGGGGAUCCUUGAGAACAUCCAGAGGAACAAGCUGCUCUUUAUUGAGACCCAGGAUGGUGCCGAAACCAGUGUCGCCCUGGAGAAGUACCAGGAGGCCUGCGAGAACGGCCGCGGGGCCAUCCUGCUGUCAGUGGCCCGGGGCAAAGUGUCCGAGGGAAUCGACUUUGUGCACCACUAUGGGCGGGCCGUCAUCAUGUUUGGCGUCCCCUACGUCUACACACAGAGCCGCAUUCUCAAGGCGCGGCUGGAAUACCUGCGGGACCAGUUCCAGAUUCGUGAGAAUGACUUUCUUACCUUUGAUGCCAUGCGCCACGCGGCCCAGUGUGUGGGUCGGGCCAUCAGGGGCAAGACGGACUACGGCCUCAUGGUCUUUGCCGACAAGCGGUUUGCCCGUGGGGACAAGCGGGGGAAGCUGCCCCGCUGGAUCCAGGAGCACCUCACAGAUGCCAACCUCAACCUGACUGUGGACGAGGGUGUCCAGGUGGCCAAGUACUUCCUGCGGCAGAUGGCACAGCCCUUCCACCGGGAGGAUCAGCUGGGCCUGUCCCUGCUCAGCCUGGAGCAGCUAGAAUCAGAGGAGACGCUGCAGAGAAUAGAGCAGAUUGCUCAGCAGCUCUGAGUGGGGCGGGUGGGGCCCAUAAACGGUUCCUGGUGA